AGAAAUCUAGUUUAAAUAAAAAACGUAAGCUUGUCAAGCUUAAGUAGUCUGUUUUAAGACGAUGUCUA
rnacentral:tRNA from 1 species